rnacentral:rRNA from 1 species
CUAGCAUAUCAAUAAGCGGAGGAAAAGAAACUAACAAGGAUUCCCCUAGUAACUGCGAGUGAAGCGGGAAAAGCUCAAAUUUAAAAUCUGGCGGUCUUUGGCCGUCCGAGUUGUAAUCUAGAGAAGUAAUGCCCGUGCUGGACCGUGUAUAAGUCUCCUGGGAUGGGGCGUCAUAGAGGGUGAGAAUCCCGUCUUUGACACGGACUACCAGUGCAUUGUGGUAUGCUCUCAAAGAGUCGAGUUGUUUGGGAAUGCAGCUCAAAAUGGGUGGUAAAUUCCAUCUAAAGCUAAAUAUUGGCGAGAGACCGAUAGCGAACAAGUACCGUGAGGGAAAGAUGAAAAGAACUUUGGAAAGAGAGUUAAACAGUACGUGAAAUUGCUGAAAGGGAAACGCUUGAAGUCAGUCGCGUUGGCCAGGGAUCAGCCUUGCUUUUGCAUGGUGUACUUUCUGGUUGACGGGUCAGCAUCAAUUUUGACCGCUGGAAAAGGGCCUGGGGAAUGUGGCAGCUUCGGCUGUGUUAUAGCCCCUGGUCGCAUACAGUGGUUGGGAUUGAGGAACUCAGCACGCCGCAAGGCCGGGUUUCGACCACGUUCGUGCUUAGGAUGCUGGCAUAAUGGCUUUAAGCGACCCGUCUUGAAACACGGACCAAGGAGUCUAACAUGCCUGCGAGUAUUUGGGUGGAAAACCCGAGUGCGCAAUGAAAGUGAAAGUUGAGAUCCCUGUCGUGGGGAGCAUCGACGCCCGGACCAGAACUUUUGGGACGGAUCCGCGGUGGAGCAUGUAUGUUGGGACCCGAAAGAUGGUGAACUAUGCCUGAAUAGGGUGAAGCCAGAGGAAACUCUGGUGGAGGCUCGUAGCGAUUCUGACGUGCAAAUCGAUCGUCAAAUUUGGGUAUAGGGGCGAAAGACUAAUCGAACCAUCUAGUAGCUGGUCU